AGGCGAAUAGCUCAGUUGGUAGAGUCGCGGUCUCCAAAACCGUUGGUCGUGGGUUCGAGUCCUACUUCGCCUGCCA
rnacentral:tRNA from 1 species